GAAACGCCGGGGACACGGAGGGUGAGAAGAGAUGCGAGGGGAUGGCGGUGAGGGUAUGACGGUGAGGGCCGAGAGAGUGAGUAUGCGAGAACGGUGGUCGAGUGGUGGUGGAAGAGCGAGGGAGCGUAGUCGAGCGACCGUCCCGCUGUGGCCACGAGCUCCGACGCUCGGGGAACGUAGGUAGUGUGUGAACUUCCGGCCGAGUGAAGCGGACAGGGGUUGUUGUAGUUAUAGGGAAGGUGCCGUUGAAGUUGAAGUAGAAGACGAUCGCGUGGUAAAGACGAAACGUAGAGAAUACCGAGCGAGAGAAACAGAAGGAAGGAGGAAGGGAAGAAGUGACGCCAGGUGUGUGAAAGAGGCAGAAAAAAAGAAGGAAGAACAAGAGUAGUUAGUGUGGUUGUGCUCGUACGAAAAACGGGCCCAUUCACUCUCGUUCUCCUCGUAUUCGGAUCGUGCUUUCGGUACCGCUGCCGAAAGCUGCUUGCGCGGAGUUGACUCGCAGAGGGGUUAUUCUCUCUCUCUUGCUCGCGAGGGUGUACCGCGCCUCGUGGUGCGACAGUACGAAGAAGAGGGGAUCGCCACCGGGGCAGAGGCUCGAACGCAUGUAGGAACAUGGCCGCAUCCAGCCCCUGCCUCCCUCUAGAGCACUCCAAAAAAACUGAUGUUCAUCUCGAUCGCCUCUAAAUCCGAUACUGAUGACGGCGACGGCGGCGUCGGUGGUAACAACAACGACGACGUCGAUGGAACCGCGAUGGUGGACGUUGUUCGUGACAGGGGUGGUGGAAAUGGCGGUGGAUGGAUAGAAGGGAGGGAGAUGAGUCGCUCGAUGGGGCAACGAGGGGCUAAGAGGACGAAAGGGCGGCACAUGAAUGAACGAUCAAUAGAUAUAUAGUUACUUGCUUGCUCCACCGGGUACCUACCUUCAGCAAAGGGCAGUUGAUACAGACUGUCUGAUAAUAGGCGCAUCUCUAUUGAUGCCAAAUAUUAUAAAAUUUUUUUUUUAUUCAAUAUUAUAUGAAACACACAUAAAAUUAUUUUAUAAAAAAUAUUUACAAUGAUUGACACAAAAUAAAAAUAGACAUGUUUUCUGCGACUUUUUAAAUAAUUAUAUUUAUCUUGAGAAUAUAAAACACAAAUGUAUCCCUGCUUAUUUUAAAAAAUCUAGGACGAAUAUACAUAGAAACUUCUAGAAGUAAUACAAUUGUACGAUUAAACAUAUCGUAGUGUGCAGAGCAAGUUUCUUGGAAUGUCUUGAUGAUAUAUUGUCAACUAAUACAGCGUCACUUAAAAACAAUUUGCUAGCAGAUAAAUUAAAUAACGAUAAAAUAUUAUAACAUUGAAGUAGCAAUUAUUCUUCUUAGACUUAUGAAAAUAUGGUGUAAUUUUUUGCAAUCAUUAUAUAAAGUAUUUCUUACAGUAUUUCUUAUUUCCUAUUUCAAGUAGAUAUGAUCUGAUUAACAUUCCAGAUACUUUUUCACAAUAUUGCCAUAGUU